rnacentral:lncRNA from 1 species
CUGUCUUACAUUGGACCAAAAGGUGAAUACAGUGUUGUUUUAAUAGAAAUGUGACGUUGAUUUCCGACCAAAAUUCAAUACCUGAACAAAAAUCUGGAGCAAUAGUGUUAAAGCUUAUUCUGCACUGUUAAUAAUAAUCUUUUUAGAUUUUUUUUUUGAGAUUUAUCUUUUCUUCUCUAUUUUUCAAGAAUAUGAUGAACAUCCUGGGACCUGACAGUCACAUCAACAACAUUGGAAAGAUCCAUUUAGUCCAGUUCUCUGCAGAAGGAGUAUUUGGUUGGAUUUUGAAGGACCCUUUGUUUAUUGACACCUUUCUGUCAGAACCAAUAGAAAUUCUGGAGGGAGGUCAGAGAAAGAGAAGACACAGCGGUGAUCUCUGGAGCUCUGGACCUCUACCCCGCAUUCCCAACCCAAUAGCAUGUCUCAAUCCCAGUGAUAUGCUCAUCUUUCAGCUAACCAUCAACUACACUGACCGUCUCCUCAGCCACUUCCCUGUGUAUCAGAAGGACCAUUUGUUCAGUAGUAAUCCUGCCUGGGACUUUGGAGCAUUCAGGCAUCUGGAGCGGCUUAUCAAGCAUUCUCAGUUUAAUUCCACCAGGUACGCUUGUGAUGACUAAUGAUUUAUACACACAUGGCCCCAAGAAUGGAGCCAGUAUUCUAUAUG